rnacentral:rRNA from 1 species
GUAGGUGGCAAGCGUUGUCCGGGAAUUAUUGGGGCGUAAAGCGCGCGCAGGCGGUUCUUUAAGUCUGAUGUGAAAGCCCACGGGCUCAACCGUGAGGGUCAUUGGAAACUGGAGAACUUGAGUACAGAAGAGGAAAGCGGAAUUCCACGUGUAGCGGUGAAAUGCGUAGAGAUGUGGAGGAACACCAGUGGCGAAGGCGGCUUUCUGGUCUGUAACUGACGCUGAGGCGCGAAAGCGUGGGGAGCAAACAGGAUUAGAUACCCUGGUAGUCCACGCCGUAAACGAUGAGUGCGAAGUGUUAGGGGGUUUCCGCCCCUUAGUGCUGCAGCUAACGCAUUAAGCACUCCGCCUGGGGAGUACGGCCGCAAAGGCUGA